CGUUCGUUUCUUGUCGUCCCUCAACUCAACUAGCAUUUGAAUCAGUUUGUUUGGUUUCUUGGAUUUUUGAUGGAACGAUUGUGAAUUAACCUGUGAUAUCACUUAUUCUCAUAUUAUCAUUUUAAAACGUAUGUACUCUAAGUAAUCAUGUCGGAGUACUUUGAUCAUUAUCAUAGAUGGGAGCCACUAGCAGAGUUCCACUUCUCUAUUUCUGAUGAUGACGAUUGCGAAGACUACAUUUACUGCUUAUGCAGCCGUGUGUUUCUACGAGAUGGUUUGAAAACUAACUGUACAGAGAAGGAUGAUGGUAGUGAAAGUGAUGCUGAAAUGGUCAAAGACUCGCAAUCUCAAGAUUGGGAGGACCAGUCGCAUGUUCAUUUUUCAUUGGACACCUCUUACAAAGUCAGAUGUGAAAAGGAUGAAGGAGCCAGUUGCUACUGCAGUGCAUCACACACAGACAACUACUGCUCCACUGAUGAGCAUGAUCCCGCUCAAAUCCAGGGCACAGCCUCACAUGCUUUACAGCCAAGUGACAGCGGUGCCGAUCUCACAUAUCAGGAAGGCCACUCUGACUAUACCACACUCGAUCAAGAAAAAAUGGACCAAGAUUUCCCAACUCAAACUGCAGAAAGCAACGAAAAUUAUCUGUCUGAAGACUGCUGGGAACAAUUCUGGGCUAUCAAUGGUGAACGCAUCAUCUGGGCAUCUUGGAUCAAGAAAUACAGUGACUACAUCAACCCAGCAUUUUUGAAUGACAAUAAUGAACUGAUGCUUGAUGAAAAUAACCUCCCUAAACAACAUUCAGCUGAUCAGAUAUUUAUUAAAGAUAAAGUUGAACUGAAUAGUGAAGAUGACAGUAUGAGAGAGAGGAAAUUUUCGUAUGAUUCAAAAGUUAAUCCAUAUAAGAAAAGUCAUGCUGAAACCAUUGAUAAAUCUGGUAUUAAUAAUGACAAAGAUGAUGCUUGGCAGCCUUUGGCAAGGAAGCGGUCUUGUUCUGAACAUGACAGAAUUCUAAGUCCAAGAACUGUGACCACUGGUACAGACUCAAUGACUAAUGUUACAAAAAUAACUCUCUCUAGUUAUGAUGUUACAUCUAGUCAUGUAACUUCAGAGUCAUCACCAACUGAGGAUUAUAGUGUAUCAUCGUCAACUUCAGAUGAUCAAUCUAAUGAUCAAACUCGAAUAGCUAAUUUUAAUGAUAGUGUAGAUCAAACCAACUCGGAAGAACUUGAUACAGAAGAGUACUGGCAAUUCCUCUGGAAAAAGCAUUUUGGAGAACAAUAUGCUUUACAUUACGCCAAUUACAUUGAUGCUUACAAUAAUGAGAAUGCUGAUAUACCAGCAAUCAAUGUUGAAAUGGUUCCAGAAGUUACCAAAGUAGUUGAAGAGAAAGUUGUUGAUAUUGAAUGUGAGAACAGUGAAGGGAAUUCUCAAGAAAUGCCAACUGUAAUUGAGGUUAAGGAGGUUGAAAUAAAAGUAGAUAAGAUUAAAUUGGAUGAUAGAAUUAAGCCAAAAAGGAGGAAUAAAAAAGUUAGUAAUCGUUAUGUGAGGUCUGUAGGGGUUUUGUUACAGAAUUUGCUUCAAGAGGAGCAAAAAAAAAGUGAAACAGAAGAGGUUUUUGAUGCCGGAGAUGUUGUGGAAAGUAAGGAACAAAAAAUAGAAAAAACUGAUGAUGUGAAUGUGAUUGUGUCUCAAAAUGAACAGCCUGUUUUUAAUCGUUUCACUCCAUGUAGCUAUGAUGAUGGAGAUGACGACCCACCGGAAGAAAAAUCAGUGUCAUUGAAGAAAAGUCACGAAAUAGACGAAGACGAAAUAGGAGCUGAGAAAAUACAAUCAACAUUCCAGAUAAUGGGCUUUUGUGUAAAGCCUGAAAAUAUGCCCAAAGGACAGUUAGUGUAUAGAAGGCGGUUGAGGAAGCUGAGACCGCCGCGGUCAAGAAAGUUUGGAGUAGCGAGAAAGACAUAUUUUGAUGACGAUGGAAAUCCUUAUGAGCCACAAGAGUCCAACGAAGAAGGAGAAAUGCAGACCAAUGAAGAUACAGACAUGGCUAAAACUCAAAAUAAUCAAUUGAAUACCAGCUUUGAUGUUUUAAACAAAAGUGAUGAUACAAUCGAGGAAAGUGUAGCAGUGGAAGCAGCUAGUGUGGAAUUACCACCCGAUGUGGAUACGUUGAGCGAUGGACCGGAUGAAUUGAGUAGUGAGAAUCCUAUUACGGAAUGUGCAGUUCCAAUACCAGUGGAGUCGACAAAACGUAGAAGACGCAACAAGAGACACUCGCGAGUCGAUGAAGACUACUCAGAAAUGCCGGACGAACUGAGAGAUGAUCCCAAAAUGUAUAAAUAUUGGAAGAAGAGGCAUUCAUUAUUUUAUAGGUUCGACGAAGGGAUAAAACUUGACCGCGAGAGUUGGUUCAGCGUGACUCCGGAAAACGUCGCCGCUCAUAUCGCGGACAAGUGCGCGUACGACGUUAUCCUUGACGCCUUCUGCGGCGCCGGCGGCAACACUAUACAGUUCGCUGCCACUUGCAAGAAAGUGAUAGCAAUCGACAUAGACCCCGCUAAAAUAGAGAUGGCGCGACACAACGCGUCUGUAUACGGCGUCUCAGACAACAUAGAGUUCAUAGUUGGAGACUUCUUCCAGUUGGCACCAACUUUGGAAGCUGAUAUGGUGUUCUUAAGUCCACCAUGGGGCGGACCCAAGUAUUCUGAAAACUAUGAGUACGACAUAGAAACUAUGUUGGAGCCGAAACCAGCAUCAAAACUGAUGGAGGUCGCUAGGAGUAUUUCGUCUAAUAUAGCUCUUUAUCUGCCCAGGAAUACGAGGACUGAUCAGUUACUAUCGAUAGCAAAAGAAAUUGGAGGUUCGUUGGAGAUUGAACAGAGUUACUUAGACAGAAGAUUUGUUGCGAUCACAGCAUACUUUUAUCAAUAGUUUUCUGUGCGUUUAAUCUACAAAAAAUAUAUAAACUUUUAUUUAAAAAUGGAUUUCGCUGCUGACACUCACUGUAAAGGCGCGUACACACUGGGCCAUCGAAUGAGUUUCAGCAUAGCCUCUUUUGGUCAUAUUUGGACGGACUUUGGUGAACGCCAAGGCCUACAUUCAAGAGCCAACAAUGCGAGUGUGUAUUACUCCAAUGUGUACGCGGUUUUAGAACUUCGGUGAGAGCAGUUUAUGUUUGCACUAUUAGGAGCAAAAAACCUUAAAAAAUAUUUAACAGAAGUCCUGUCCGAUUCAGAAAUAUUAGGUCGUCAUAUUGGGAAGCUUUUGUAGGUUGUAUUUAUGGUUUCUCGUCAAAUCAUAAUCCAAAAAUUCCUCUGUUAAAAAAAUAUAUAAUUAGAUUUUAGACUGACUGACGGUAACACUUACGUGCCGAUUUCCUUUGUCGCUCGAUCUCGUUAUGGGAACACAUGCCUUCGCCGACACAGUGUUGUCGCUCUUUAUACUUUGGCAAAAUUUUGAGUAAUGAUUGCAAAAUUUUGAUAUUUACUGAUAUAUAUUUUAUCCUUUUUUUUAACUUGUCACUUUCCAUUUCGGGUCGGACAGGAAUUUUGUUAUACAUAUAUUGUAAAGUCGGGUUGGAAUAUAAUGUUAUAAGCUCGUGUUCAUUUUAAAACUUGCGCUCAUAAAUGUUCUCGUUUUAAAUACUUGUUACCUACUAUUUACGUACCUAUCCAUGCAAUAAUUAAAUACGAAGUUAUGUAUGCUUCGAAUUUAUAUUUUAAUUAGUGGAUCUAACAUACAGUGUAUGUUAACUAUAUUUUGUGAUUUCACACUUUAUCAAUGUACAGAACUGCGUAUAUUUUAAGAACAGCUCAAUAUAUAUUAUUUAAGAUUAACUUCAUUGUAGCAAUAAAUAUAAUUUGAAGUCUCAAGUUUUUAUUUUAUGUAGCAUUUAUUUUAUGUAAAUUUCUAAAUAGAAUUGGACAUAUUGUAUAAUUGACCAAUGAGUAUCACGUAAUUAUGUUGAUAAUAUAUUACUUCUUUCUUCUAAACCAAAGGGCCAUUUUUAUACAAGUCGCAUCUGCAAUUUUCGACGGCACAGCAUAGCGCACCCUACAGCCGAAUCAAAUCGAAUGAAAACUCAACAAAAUAAAAUCAAGACAAGCAAUUUAUCUCGUUCAAAUGACGCGCGCUGAUAGGCUCAAAUAUUUUCGCGCCAUGCAAAAAUGGACUUCUGCGCAGGUAUACAAUGUAACUUUUAAAAAAGUAAUACUUGCAAAUACAUAAUAUCUUUUUCUAUUUACAGAUGUAAAGAUUUUGGCAAAUUACAGGAUAACGAAAGAAAAAAAUUGACGACUUAUAAAACUAAAUAGAUUUGUUUGUGAUAAAAAAUGUAUUGUUCAUGUUAAAAAUAUACUACUAAAUAAUAAUAGAUAUGUAGUUACUGAUAUAAGAAAUAUUUUAUUUUCGCCGCAGCUAAUUUACAACCUCCACAACCAGACAGUGUUAUUUCAUUAAGUGUUUUUGUUUCUCAUAUAAAUAUAUUUAAAAAAUGAAUAUUUCAAUAAAAAAAACCUGUCAUUAUAGUUUACCAUUAUUUCAGGAGUUACCUAAAGAAAUGAAUUAAAUGUCCAUUUAUUUCUCAAAAUAUAUUUAAGCUUUUAUCUGCCAGAGACUUGUGAGAAGUUUUACUUUCAUUAUGAUUCUUGUAGAAGUACAAUGAACUAUAAAAAAAAAUGUUUAUCUCACUAGUCCCAUUGAGUUGUCCCAUCGCCUACCUACCGCUUUGGUGCCGAGAGCGUGGGCUACCCUCACUCACAUUGCGUGUCCCGGCGACCUCGGCUCGGCCGUUCUUCACGGAGUCUCACCAUGAGAGAACUCUACACGAUAAGUGGCAUAGAAAAAAUAUGAUAUUGUACUGUCUAUAUGUAGGUCUUGUGACUUUUAAUGUUGUGAUCUCUGUAAAUAUCUGUUUAUCAAAAUAAAUUGUUAAAAACUA
rnacentral:misc_RNA from 1 species